rnacentral:siRNA from 1 species
GAGUUCGAGUGCGUUGAAGUGCAU